rnacentral:rRNA from 1 species
UUGGAGGUUGUUCCCUUGAGGAGUGGCUUCCGGAGCUAACGCGUUAAGUCGACCGCCUGGGGAGUACGGCCGCAAGGUUAAAACUCAAAUGAAUUGACGGGGGCCCGCACAAGCGGUGGAGCAUGUGGUUUAAUUCGAUGCAACGCGAAGAACCUUACCUACUCUUGACAUCCAGAGAACUUAGCAGAGAUGCUUUGGUGCCUUCGGGAACUCUGAGACAGGUGCUGCAUGGCUGUCGUCAGCUCGUGUUGUGAAAUGUUGGGUUAAGUCCCGCAACGAGCGCAACCCUUAUCCUUUGUUGCCAGCGAUUCGGUCGGGAACUCAAAGGAGACUGCCGGUGAUAAACCGGAGGAAGGUGGGGAUGACGUCAAGUCAUCAUGGCCCUUACGAGUAGGGCUACACACGUGCUACAAUGGCGCAUACAAAGAGAAGCGACCUCGCGAGAGCAAGCGGACCUCACAAAGUGCGUCGUAGUCCGGAUCGGAGUCUGCAACUCGACUCCGUGAAGUCGGAAUCGCUAGUAAUCGUGGAUCAGAAUGCCACGGUGAAUACGUUCCCGGGCCUUGUACACACCGCCCGU